rnacentral:rRNA from 1 species
UAGGAAUUGGCCAGCAGCCGCGGUAAUACGGAGGAUGCGAGCGUUAUCCGGAUUUAUUGGGUUUAAAGGGAGCGCAGACGGGAGAUUAAGUCAGUUGUGAAAGUUUGCGGCUCAACCGUAAAAUUGCAGUUGAUACUGGUUUCCUUGAGUGCAGUUGAGGCAGGCGGAAUUCGUGGUGUAGCGGUGAAAUGCUUAGAUAUCACGAAGAACCCCGAUUGCGAAGGCAGCUUGCUAAACUGUAACUGACGUUCAUGCUCGAAAGUGUGGGUAUCAAACAGG